rnacentral:rRNA from 1 species
GGCGCACGGGUGAGUAACGCGUAUGCAACCUACCUUUAACAGAGGGAUAGCCCAUAGAAAUGUGGAUUAAUACCUCAUAGUUCUGAGAAGCCGCAUGGUUUUUCAGAUAAAGCUCCGGCGGUUAAAGAUGGGCAUGCGUGACAUUAGCUAGUUGGUAAGGUAACGGCUUACCAAGGCUACGAUGUCUAGGGGUUCUGAGAGGAUGAUCCCCCACACUGGUACUGAGACACGGACCAGACUCCUACGGGAGGCAGCAGUGAGGAAUAUUGGUCAAUGGGCGCAAGCCUGAACCAGCCAUCCCGCGUGAAGGAUGAAGGUCCUAUGGAUUGUAAACUUCUUUUAUACACCAAGAAAAACUCCCACGAGUGGGAGCCCGACGGUAGUGUAUGAAUAAGCAUCGGCUAACUCCGUGCCAGCAGCCGCGGUAAUACGGAGGAUGCAAGCGUUAUCCGGAUUCAUUGGGUUUAAAGGGUGCGUAGGCGGCUUUUUAAGUCAGUGGUGAAAUCCUGCCGCUUAACGGUAGAAUUGCCAUUGAUACUGAAGAGCUUGAGUACAGUUGAGGUAGGCGGAAUGUGUAGUGUAGCGGUGAAAUGCUUAGAUAUUACACAGAACACCGAUUGCGAAGGCAGCUUACUAAACUGUUACUGACGCUGAUGCACGAAAGCGUGGGGAGCGAACAGGAUUAGAUACCCUGGUAGUCCACGCCGUAAACGAUGCUCACUCGCUGUAUGCGAUACACAGUAUGCGGCCAAGCGAAAGCAUUAAGUGAGCCACCUGGGGAGUACGAUCGCAAGGUUGAAACUCAAAGGAAUUGACGGGGGCCCGCACAAGCGGAGGAACAUGUGGUUUAAUUCGAUGAUACGCGAGGAACCUUACCUGGGCUUAAAUGUAGAGCGACAGCUUGUGAAAGCAGGCUUUCUUCGGACGAUCUACAAGUGCUGCAUGGUUGUCGUCAGCUCGUGCCGUGAGUGUCGGGUUAAGUCCCAUACGAGCGCACCCUUAUCGUAGUUGCCAGCGGUCAGCCGGGGACUCUAGCGA